rnacentral:tRNA from 1 species
AAGGAUUUAAGUUAAUUAAACUCGUAGCCUUCAAAGCUUCAAAUAAAGAUUUUUAUCUUCUUUAAGCCUUA